rnacentral:rRNA from 1 species
GACGAACGCUGGCGGCGUGCUUAACACAUGCAAGUCGAACGGCAAGGCCCUGCUUUUGUGGGGUGCUCGAGUGGCGAACGGGUGAGUAACACGUGAGUAACCUGCCCUUGACUUUGGGAUAACUUCAGGAAACUGGGGCUAAUACAGGAUAGGAGCUCCUGCUGCAUGGUGGGGGUUGGAAAGUUUCGGCGGUUGGGGAUGGACUCGCGGCUUAUCAGCUUGUUGGUGGGGUAGUGGCUUACCAAGGCUUUGACGGGUAGCCGGCCUGAGAGGGUGACCGGCCACAUUGGGACUGAGAUACGGCCCAGACUCCUACGGGAGGCAGCAGUGGGGAAUAUUGCACAAUGGGCGGAAGCCUGAUGCAGCAACGCCGCGUGCGGGAUGACGGCCUUCGGGUUGUAAACCGCUUUCGCCUGUGACGAAGCGUGAGUGACGGUAAUGGGUAAAGAAGCACCGGCUAACUACGUG